UGUAUUGCUCCAAAAGAUGCUGAACGAAAUGACCUCAAAGAUAACGGCAAACUUACAGUCUGUGGUGAAUGACCUGCAGAAAGAUUUCCAAGAGCUGGGCACGAGAACUUCUGCUAACUAAGAUAAAAUGGUACCCAUAAUGAUAUGGCGGGAAAAAUGGAGGGCCUUAUUGCACGUAUGGACCUCUAUGAAACUAAGCUGGUGGAUAGCGAGGAC